CAGUCGCCCGAGGAGAAGCCCACCUGGCUGCGAGCUCUAGGGCUGCAUCCACGUUGGACCAGCCCUGCCCUCCAUAUUCGACGGAGAAGGGGCGGAGUUUCGGCCAGGGCCCGCCCCCGACAGCGGAGCGCGGGAGGCCGAGGCGGGACUUCCGCCUCGCAAGGUGCCACUUCCGGAUCCGGUGGCGAUAGUUUCCGGGUCAGUUUAGAGCCGCGAUGCACUGGCGGGUUGUUUGAGUUAUGGCUCGCGCAUCGCUGGGGAUGUUGGGCUGCAGCUCGAGGCGGAAGGGCGAGGCAGAGGGCGAUCUGGCGGGGACUGUGUCUGCGCCGCCUGCCAUUGACUUCUCGGCCGAGAGCUCGGACCCCAAGCGUGAUGGAAAAUGUCAGAGGAAGAUUCUCCCACCCGGUUCAGAGUUACUCUGAUUUGGAAAAUGACGCUCAGCGCACGGCCCCUGGAGUCGUCUCCCAGGAGCCGAAACUGAAGGAUCGAAGCUAACGGAAGAAAAUAACGGCUUUGGGUUACAGUUACGAAGAGCUGCCCACAAAUAGGUCAAUUCAUUUAAUUCUCAUGUAACCCUGUAAGGUUGGGUGAAGUGGGAUCUUUACAAAUGAACAACUGAGACAGGUUAAAUAAUUUGUUUAAAAAUCACAGCUCCUAGUGGUCGGACUCCAUGUAAACAAACUGGAUACAGAUGUUACUUAUCGAGUUGUUUGUAAUAUUAUCGGAGACGCCUAUUUCUCCCUCAGCUGGAGGCAUGGCCAAAUUAUGGAAUAUCAAGUUACAAAAUACUGUGUUACACUAAACAUGGAAGUUGCCCAGGACAUAGUUCGGAGUGGAAAACAAAAUGCAAGUUGCAGAAAAAUGUGUUUUUAGCCAUUGUUUUUGCAAAACCAAACCCUUUCGAAACAAUGCUGUCCUAUUGUAGUACACACUUAUCUAUGUAAUCGAAUAAAGAUUGGAGUAACAUAUACUAAACCGACAACUGUGUAGGGGAGGGAAGGGGGAGGCAUGGGGAUUUAAGAGAGUUAUGGUAGAAAGGAACUUUAUUCUUACAAAGUUUAAUAAUUUGAGAAAUAAAAUCCACCUGAUGGUGUGAGGAUAUAAGGGUUAUGAGAAUAUGG
ensembl:lncRNA